CCACAAAAACCCUCAUCGCCUUCGCCCUCUUCCGUCUCUCUCGCCUUCACUCCGCCGCCACACCUCCGAUUCCACUCACGACGGCUUCCAUACGACCACGCCAUGAAACCGACAAGCGUACUCUAAUCCAACUCCUUCACAGCUUCGAGGUUGCUCUGUAGCGGUAUCGGCAGAACUCAAGCACAACGAGGACGGGAAGCAACAACAACUCCGACUCCGCAUUCGGUCUCUUCAUCGGAAGGGAUAAACGGGAAAGAAAAAGUCGUUUAUUGGACUGUUGUUUAAGCUUGCUGUUGAAAUCCCAAAGGAGGUCACUAUAGUCAGCAUGUUUCAAAUACUUAGUGUUUGUUAUUAUUUAAUAGCUAAUUCAGAUUUAAUAAUUUUUUUGGGCCCGAAUUAAUUUCAAUAAAUUGUGGCCCAUGUGUAUAUAUGCACUGUUUUUGAUUUCUUUUUUUUAUUAAAGGCGUUACUUAAUUAAGA